rnacentral:rRNA from 4 species
GGUGAAGUCGUAACAAGGUAGCCGUAUCGGAAGGUGCGGCUGGAUCACCUCCUUUCUAAGGAUAUAUUCGGAAC